UCCAGUUUGUCUAACAAGCCUGGAGGGUAGA
rnacentral:piRNA from 1 species